CUGCAGCAAGGCUGGCCCAGAUCACAGGUGCAUCACUGGAGCUCUGCAAUGGAAGUCUGCAUCUGCCAGGAUUCAGGGACUGCUUCUUCGGUCAGGACCCCUGCCUCAUUCACUGCAUGUGAUGGACCUGCUCUGAGAUAAAUCAGAGUUGCACAGUGAAAGAGACCAGCUGUAGGACCCCUGCCUCAUUUGUCAGGGGACCUUUUUGAUCCUCAAAGGACCUGCUUUACAGAAACACUGAAUGCUUACAGCUGCAAAUGAAGUGAAUGGGAAUCCACUGAACCCAAAGUGCUAUACAAGCACAGAUCAGUCAGGCUGUUGGUGUCUCAGACCAGGCACCCAGAAUUAGAAAAUACCUUUUAAUACAGUCUUCAGUCAUUCACCUGUAAAAUGGGAAUAAAAAUAUCCCCUCCUCUCAUAGAGGUGUGAGAAAAUAAAUGAU